AAGACAUCCACAUUUUCACAAACUGGAAAACUGUAAAUGACGUGCAAAGGCCGUUGACAGGGCGCUGGUUACAGAAAUGAGAGUGGAGCCAGGAGCGGACUCUGACUGAGACACGGAAGGACUGUAGCCUGCCCGGAUCCUCUGUCCAUGGGGACUCUCCAGCCAAGAACAUGGAGUGGGUUGCCACAACCUCCUCCAGGGGAUCUUUCCAACCCAGGGAUUGAACCCAGGUCUUCCAACAAUACUGGAGUGUGUAUCCCAGCCUUUUCACCGAGGGAAUUUCCUGACCCAGGAAUUGAACCGGGGUCUCCUGCAUUGCAGGUGGAUUCUUUACCAGCUGAGCUACCUGGGAAGCCCCUACAUUCAGUUAUAUUAAAUCCUAACAGCCACCGAUGAAAGUGGAUAAAGCAUUUUUAAUAAUAUUUACGGAUUUCCCACCUGGAAAUGAAAUAAACUAUAAAGUUAUUA